AUGCACGCACAUGCACUGCACACACACGCACAUGCAUGCAACACAUUCCACACGCAUGCACAUCACUCUGCACACACACACUCCCCACACACGCGCACAUGCAUUCCACACACACGUAUGCACUCCACACACAUGCACAUGCAUUCUGCACACACACACACUCCUCACACACGCACACACAUUCCACACACAUGUAUGCAUACUCCACAUAUACACACACACACUCUACAUGCACACACUCCACACGCAUACACACACACUCCACACACACAUGCACUCCACACACAUACACAUUCCACAUACACACAUGUAUGCACACUCCACAUGCACACACUCCACAGGCAUGCACACACUCCACACACAUGCACAUACAUGCACACACAUGCACAUCACUCUGCACACACACUCCCCACACAAACGCACACUCCACAUGCAUGCACACACAUUCCACACACAUGCACAUGCAUGCACACAUGCACAUGCACUCUGCACACACGCACACACACUCCACACACAUGCACACACACUCCACACACAUGCACUCCACACACAUACACAUUCCACACACACACAUGUAUGCACACUCCACAUGCACACACUCCACAGGCAUGCACACACUCCACACACAUGCACAUACAUGCACACACAUGCACAUCACUCUGCACACACACACUCCCCCCACAUUCCACACACAUGUAUGCACACUCCACACACACAUACUUCCACAUGCACACACUCCACACACAUGCACACACAUACUUCACACACAUGCACACACACUCCACACACACACACACUCCACACACGCACACACACUCCACACACAUACACACCCUCCACACACAUGCACAGCACUCCACACACAUGCACACACACACACACACACACAUGCACACACGCACCUUGCAUUGCCUGGACUUGUCUGCUGACGCAUGUCCAGGGUGUGGACAGCCGCCUGACACCGUCUCGUCCCGGCUGUGGGGAGCACGGGCGGGCAGACGUCUCCUGGGCACUGCACUCUCCUUUUCUUGGAUACGUUUCCGCAUGAGUUGCCAGGCUAAGACAGUUUCGCACAUCUGGUGUGGGCUCCUGGGGUGA
rnacentral:lncRNA from 1 species